GAUUCCCCUUUUUUAUUAUAUAACACAAGUUUAAAUGAAUGUAAAAAACCCUUUAAUUAUAAAAUAACUUUUAACAAUGGAUCUCUAGGCUCUCACAUCGAUGAAGAACACAGUGAAAUGUGAUAAGUAAUGUGAAUUGCAGAAUUCAGUGAAUCAUCGAAUCUUUGAACGCAUCUUGCACCUUUUGGUAUUCCAAAAGGUACACCUGUUUGAGUGUCAUGAAACCCUCUCACAAAAUAAUUUUUGAAUC
rnacentral:rRNA from 1 species